CUUUGUUAGUGGAACCACGUUAGGGAAAGAAGACGAAGUGACCUAUAGGUUAAAUUGAAGGUUUUAUUACUCUGCUGUUAGUUCAAAUAAUAAAUUUUAAGUAAAACAGAGUCUCGUAGCUCAGCUGGUUAGAGUACUACACUGAUAAUGUAGGGGUCGGCAGUUCGAGUCUGCCCGGGACUACUUUUUAAGAAUUGAUAAUUAAUUAAUUGUUAAUUGAUAAUUACACCGACUGUAAUGCUUUAAAAGGCAAUUUUAGAAGUUGAAAGAUUAAGAAUCGAAAAAGUUCAUAAUUUUUAAUUCACGAUUUUUAAUUUUUAAUUAAAAUUGGGGGAUUAGCUCAGCUGGCUAGAGCGCCUGCCUUGCACGCAGGAGGUCAACGGCUUCGACUCCGUUAUUCUCCACAGAUCCGAAAGGAUAAAAGCUCAUUGACAUAUUGGGAUAAGAACAUAAUAAUAAGUAGAGAGCAUUGUUUAUUAACUGUAGGUAAUACAGUACAUAAAAAAGCGGUCUUGAUUUAUCAUGGCUGGUACAAUAAGCAAAAUAAGGGCGUAUGGGGGAUGCCUAGA
rnacentral:misc_RNA from 1 species